GAGGAUCGAACCCACAAUCUCAGAGGUGAAAGGCGCUUGCUCAGCCUACUACCUGAACCAACUACAUGAAAACGCCUGAAAAAUACAAGCAGCGGUGGCCAAGUGGUUAGCGCACUUGCCUUUCACCUCUAAGGUCGCAGGUUCGAAUCUCAGUGAGAACUUCUCAAUGUGACUCGAACCCAGUCCUCAUGUGAAAAGAGUAAAAGUCGACGCUCUGCCGAAAGUCGUGGGUUUUCUCCGGGCACUCCGUGUUUCCUCCCACAGGGAAAGUUGACAGGGUGGGUUAGGCACAUAGGAUAGGUCUGGAGGCAGAUCAUUAAUGAGGUAUGGACUAAUAGCGGCAGCUGCUCAAGCGCCAUUUGUAAGCUCAAAGUCUACCUCGGUCUGCUUCACGUCAGUCCGGUUCUAUCUAUCUA